CGACCCUCCCCUUGACCCACGCCUCUGCGCAGGCGCCUUGGCGGGCUGUGGCUGCGGAGUUGGCGGGUCGGCGCCUGCGCACUGGAGUCCCCCGCGAUUUUUUCCUCCGGGGUGGGCGAGGAGGCUGUGCGGCCUUCCCCAGCGGCUGUAGCAGGAGACCUGCGGCUGCAUCUCCCAGGGCCUUCCGGCGGGGCCGAGGGUAGGACCGAGGCACUUCUUCCUUGCAAGCGCGUUUAUUUGUAUUUUCAACCACACUUCAGACGCUACUGGUUUAUAGGAACGUUAAGUUUACUGAGUGUGCAGCUACGCUCCCCUGGGUUUUUGUUCCUUUCCUUAAAGGGCCAGGUGUAGGAGACAGUAGUCCUGCUCCCAAAAAAAGAAUAAAUAGAAGUGCCCGCCCUCUUGGGCUGGACCCCCGUGGCCAAGGGAGUUUUUAGUGAUGGCUGGCAUGGACGUCAGUAUGAAAGUGUACCGGAGUAUUAGUGAUGCUUAACUUUUCACAAUUUGAAUAUGCACUUAAGUAGGGCAGUGCAUUCCCUGAACUCAGCUUUAUGGCUACAGCCCAGUGAAGCAACGGGAUGUGAACUCCAAAACGGCGAAUCCUCCUUUGCUGUUUCCCUCUGGUGCCUUUCUGCAGCCUCGGAGUGAGUUCUUGGCUGUAGUCAGUUUUCAGUACCGUUAGUGACGAGUCCGGUGGGGCGCGGCCAGGAUUAGGAUGAAUCAUACAAGUGCUGGGUGGAUCCUGUCUUUACCUAAAAUUUUGAUAAUUAGUUGUGGGGCGCGGCCAGGAUUAGGAUGAAUCAUACAAGUGCUGGGUGGAUCCUGUCUUUACCUAAAAUUUUGAUAAUUAGUUCAUCAUGGGUUUUUUGCCUUUUUCAUUUUUAAAAAUGUUAAAAUAGUGUCACUCUUGAUGACUUAAAUUUUUUUCAUCCCCGUAAACGCACCUGAGGCCUGUGCUUCCUUGCCUCACCCUAACCUGGCCCUGGGGCUAGAUCCUGGAGAUUCAGGGUUGAAAAGACAAAGUCCUGUCCUUUAGGGAGUUUACAGAGACCAAUGGGAAAGAAGUUGACAGUGAACAAUUUCAGAACACGAAAGAGGAUAUGAAAGAAUGUAAUCGGGGGUAGAGAAUGCAGAUUAGUAUAGGUUAAGGAUUUUGGAUGGUCAGGACGCUUUCUGAGGCUUUGAACCCAGAUGCGUUGAACUGGCAAUGCAGGGCUGCAUAAUAAGCAGAGGGAAUAAUAAGCAGAGGGAAUGCCUGACUACGACUUAGUGAACAAGAGAGAGAGGAGAUGAGGUUAGAGAGGUAGGCAGAAGCCAGAUCCUGUGGGACCUUGUAGUUUUUCCAUGCAGAGUUUAGACUUUCUUCUGAUUGCAGUGGUUAGCUGUUGGAAGGAUUUUGGCAAGGUAGUUAUUUGUUGAUAGAAUAUUGAAAUUAUAAUAGCUUUUUUAUGUAAAAAAAAGAAUGUAAAUGUUAGCCUUUCAUUCUCACAAUAGGUUAGCAUUAUUUUCAGUGUACAAUGGUCGUGCUUCUCAGUGUGAGUUAAUUCUCACUGUGGCUACCAAAACCACACAGCUAGUAAGCGGAGAUUCGAGUGCCCGUCUGCAGGAUUCAAAAAGUCCAUGUCCUUUCCUCUUAUGCUAUGCUAGCCUAUAACACUAUCUGCUGGAGUCCUGGUUGGUUUUAGUACAUUUCACAUUACUUCACAGUUUGACCUUAGAGAUAAUUGUAUUCACCUCUUCUAUUUUCAGAUGCUGGCAUAAAUACAAAAUUCGAAGCAGGCAAGGUUUCUCAUUACAUUAGUUUUUAUUUGUAUUUUUUUGAGACUGAGUCUCGCUCUGUAGCCCAGGCUGGAGUGCAGUGGCGCGAUCUUGGCCCGCUGCAGUCCCUGCCUCCUGGUUCAAGCGGUUCUCCUGCCUCAGCCUCCCAAGUAGCUGGGAUUAUAGGCAUGCGCCACCACGCCUGGCUAAUUUUUAUAUUUUUAGUAGAGACGGGGUUUCACCUUUUUGUCCAGGCUGGUCUUGAACUCCUGAUCUCAACUGAUCCAUCCACCUCGGCCUCCCAAAGUGCUGGGUGGCAUGAGCCACCGAGCCUGGCUCAUUAAAUUAGCUGAGCAUCUGGAAUAUAACCUUUGGAUCUUAUCCUCAGCUUAGAUUUGUUCUUCAGCAGUUUUUUUAUUCUCUAGAAAAAGGCUGAUAUAUUAUUGGAGAAAUCAAAAUUUCUGUCAUAAUGUAAUAUAAAGAACCAAGCAUGUUUUGUUGCAUGCUAGAAUAAUUUGUUAGGUUUUUUUUUUCAGCUUAUUGGGUUACUGCAUCAUUGACAUUAAAUAAUGUUUGAGCUUUAAUUAUUAUAUUAUUCAUAACUGUCGAUAGGUUCAGUUCACUGGCACCUGUUAAAAUUCUCAUCUAAGUGAGAAAGUUAGGGCCACUCUGGCGGGGUGUGGUGGCUCAUGCCUGUAACCCCAGCACUUUGGGAGUCAGAGGCAGGAGGAUUGCUUGAGCCCAGGAGUCAACAUGGUGAAACCCCAUCUCUACCAAAAACAAAAAAAGCAAAAAUUAGCCAGGCAUGGUGGUGCAUACCUGUAGUCCCAGCUACUUGGGAGGCCGAGGUGGGAGGAUGGCUUGAGCCCAGAGGCAGAGGUUGCAGUGAGCUGAGAUCGCAUCACUGCACUCCAGCCUGGCGACCAAAAAAUAAAGGGCAAGGGGACAUUCUGAAUUUUACUAGAAGCCAAUAGAUGUAUACACCUCAUUUUUCAAAUCAGCAUCAAUCAGUUGUUGGGUGUUUAGGUGGAACAUGAAGUGCAGAGAGAACUGCCCUCAUUCUUUCGUAAAAUUCUUAUCGCAGACCUAUCACAUGCAAAACAAUGGGAUAUAUGGAAAUAAAUGGGACAUGACACCUGCCCUUGUGCUUAUUAUCUGUGGGCUUGCCACAUAAUAGCCAUAAUAGGUGUUCAGUAAAUAAUUUCUGAAUACCAAUCAGGCAUAUCUGUGGGGGUAAGGUGUAUAAAAUAAAGCUAUGUGGAACACUGGAUGAGUCAAAUACAUUUAAAUUUGUGGAAAUUUUGGCCGGGACUGGUGGCUCACACCUGUAAUCCCAGCACUUGGAAGGCCUAGGUGGGCAGAUCACCUGAGGUCAGAAGUUCAAGACCAGCCUGGCCAACAUUGUGAAACCCCAUCUCUACUAAAAAUACAAAAAAUUGGCCAGGCAUGGGGGCGGGUGCCUGUAAUCCCAGCUACUUGGGAGGCUGAGGCAGGAGAAUCAUUUGAACCUAGGAGGCGGAGGUUGCAGUGAGCCGAGAUCACGCCAUUGCACUCCAGCCUGGCCAGCAAGAGUGAAACUCCAUGUCAAAAAGAAAAAAAAAAAUUGUGGAAAUUUUCAUAGAAAAAAAGGAGUUACUUCUAUGUACCAGGAUAAGGGAAUAAUCUGUAGGACAGGGUUUCUUAACCUCAGCACAUUUUUGGCCAGAUAAUUGUUGUAGGAUGUUUAGCAGCAUCUCUUUUAUUCCAUCUUCCAGUUGUGGUAACUGUCUCUAAACGUUGUCAGAUGUCUCCUGCGGGGGCAAAAGACCCUCUGGAUGAGAACCAUGGCUGUAGGGGAUGUCUUCUGAAGAAAUGGGCACAAAGGAGGCCU
rnacentral:lncRNA from 1 species